rnacentral:rRNA from 1 species
AACGAACGCUGGCGGCGUGCCUAACACAUGCAAGUCGAACGUGAUUGGAAGCUUGCUUCCAUGAAAGUGGCGCACGGGUGAGUAACGCGUAGAUAAUCUACCUGAUGGAUCGGGAUAACACUUCGAAAGGGGUGCUAAUACCGGAUAAGCCCACGGAGUCCUUGGACACUGCGGGAAAAGGAGGGGACCUUCGGGCCUUCCGUCAUCAGAUGAGUCUGCGUACCAUUAGCUAGUUGGUAGGGUAAAGGCCUACCAAGGCGACGAUGGUUAGCUGGUUUGAGAGGAUGGUCAGCCACACUGGAACUGAGACACGGUCCAGACUCCUACGGGAGGCAGCAGUGGGGAAUUUUGCGCAAUGGGGGAAACCCUGACUCAGCAACGCCGCGUGAGUGAUGAAGGCCCUUGGGUCGUAAAGCUCUGACAGAGGGAAAGAAAUGUGGGUGGCUAAUAUCCAUUCCACUUGACGGUACCCUCAAAGGAAGCACCGGCUAACUCCGUGCCAGCCGCCGCAGUAACAC